rnacentral:rRNA from 1 species
GAUGAACGCUGGCGGCAUGCCUAACACAUGCAAGUCGAGCGAAAAGACGAGGAGCUUGUGCCUCUGACGUUGGCGACGGGCGGGCGGGUGAGAAAUGGAUAACCUACCUAUAAUUCUGGGAGGAUUACGGGAGACAGGAUCUGAUAACGGCUAAUAUAUUGAACCGCAUGGUUCAAUAGUUAAAGACGGUUUUGGUGUCAGAAAGAGAUGGAUCCGCGCCGCAUUAGCUAGUUGGUAAGGUAACGGCUAACCAAGGCAACGAUGCGUAGCCGACCGGAGAGGGUGAUCGGCCACACUGGAACUGAGACACGGUCCAGACUCCUACGGGAGGCAGCAGUAGGGAAUCUUCAGCAAUGGGCGAAAGCCUGACCCAGCAACGCCGCGUGAGUGAUGAAGGUCUUCGGAUCGUAAAACUCUGUUAUUAGGGAAGAACAAAUGUAGAAGUAACCAUGCACGUUUUGACGGUACCCAAACAGAAAGCAACGGCUAACUACGUG